rnacentral:rRNA from 1 species
GUACACGCUGUGACUAGCAUAUCAAUAAGCGGAGGAAAAGAAACUAACAAGGAUUCCCCUAGUAACGGCGGGUGAAGCGGGAAGAGCUCAAAUUUGAAAUCUUAAAGGGUUUCCCUUUACGAAUUGUAGUUUAAAGAAGUGUUUUCUGUUGAGGUUUUGGUAAAAGUUCUUUGGAAUAGGACAUCAUAGAGGGUGAGAAUCCCGUAUUUGACCUUUACUUUCAACUUUGUGAUACACUUUCAAAGAGUCGGAUUGUUUGGGAAUGCAGUCCAAAAUGGGUGGUAAAUUUCAUCUAAAGCUGAAUAUUGGCGAGAGACCGAUAGCGAACAAGUACCGUGAGGGAAAGAUGAAAAGAACUUUGAAAAGAGAGUUAAACAGUACGUGAAAUUGUCAAAAGGGAAGCGUUUGACACCAGUGUUGUUUUUCUGAAAAUCAAUUAAAGGAACUGUUUAUGCUAAGUUGUUUAGACUUUAUCAGCUAACUGUUUAGUUUUGAGCUUUUCUUUAAUGCACUUUUCAGUUAACAAGUCAACAUCAAUUUCUUUUGCUGUAAAAAAGCUUGAGGAAGGUGGCUUGAGAUUCGUCUUAAGUGUUUAUAGCCUCUUGCCUAUGCAGUCGGAGAGAUUGAGGUCUGCAGCGUAGAUCCUUCGGGGCUAAAUGCAUUUGUGCUAAGUUAUAGCAUUUUAUAGACAACUUGUUGACUAUGAUUUGUCUUGUAGCUUACUCGCUUAUGUUAUUUUACCUACGCUUAGGAUGUUGAUAUGCAUGACUGAUAU